AUAAUGGAGAGUUUGAUCCUGGCUCAGGACGAACGCUGGCGGCGUGCCUAAUACAUGCAAGUCGAGCGGAAAAUUUGGAGCUUGCUCCAAGUUUUCAGCGGCGGACGGGUGAGUAACACGUGGGCAACCUGCCCUGCAGUUCGGGAUAACUCCGGGA
rnacentral:rRNA from 1 species